GACGUAGGGCGCGAGCGUUGUCCGGAUUUAUUGGGCGUAAAGAGCUCGUAGGCGGCUUGUUGCGUCGACUGUGAAAGCCCGCGGCUUAACCGUGUGGCUCUGCAGUCGAUACGGGGCAGGCUGGAGUUCGGUAGGGGAGACUGGAAUUCCUGGUGUAGCGGUGAAAUGCGCAGAUAUCAGGAGGAACACCGGUGGCGAAGGCGGGUCUCUGGGCCGAUACUGACGCUGAGGAGCGAAAGCGUGGGGAGCGAACAGG
rnacentral:rRNA from 1 species